UCCGUAGGUGGAUAAUUAAGUCAGAGGUGAAAUCCUGCAGCUCAACUGUAGAAUUGCCUUUGAUACUGGUUAUCUUGAGUCAUUAUGAAGUGGUUAGAAUGUGUAGUGUAGCGGUGAAAUGCAUAGAUAUUACACAGAAUACCGAUUGCGAAGGCAGACCACUAAUAAUGUACUGACACUGAGGGACGAAAGCGUGGGGAGCGAACAGGAUUAGAUACCCUGGUAGUCC
rnacentral:rRNA from 1 species